GACGAACGCUGGCGGCGUGCUUAACACAUGCAAGUCGAACGACGAAGCCCUUUCGGGGGUGGAUUAGUGGCGAACGGGUGAGUAACACGUGGGUAACCUGCCCUGUACCCUGGGAUAAGCCUUGGAAACGAGGUCUAAUACCGGAUAUGACCUGCUCUCGCAUGGGGGUGGUGGAAAGUUUUGGCGGUGCAGGAUGGACCCGCGGCCUAUCAGCUUGGUUGGUGGGGUNACUGGCCCUACCAAGGCGACGACGGGUAGCCGGCCUGAGAGGCGACCGGCCACACUGGGACUGAGACACGGCCCAGACUCCUACGGGA
rnacentral:rRNA from 1 species